GUCUAUGGCCAUGCUACCCUGAACAAGCCUGAUCCCGUCUGAUCGCGGAAGCUAAGUAGGGUCAGGCCUGGUUAGUACUUGCAUGGGAGACCACCUAGGAAGACCAGGAGCUAUAGAUG
rnacentral:rRNA from 1 species